AAUACUAUAAAAAGGAGAAGUGAUGGACAUGAUAGUAAUUUUACCAUAUGUAUAGAUUUUAUAGCAUUAUGUACAACACAAUACAAGCCAUUAUAUUAGGAAAUAGCACAUAAUUUUAAGACGCCAUGGUGGCAAUUUAGGGAUUUCACCCCUGCUUUUAACUCAUUGUCGUUCUUGAACAUCAAACGCCAUGGUUCAAUGCGACCUUUCGGUACUCGUCAGUUCCCAUCUCCUCUAUAACCUAAUGUUCGAUUCUUAAAGCUUCCAUCAAUGGCGAUGAAUCUCAUCUCCCCUGUGGCUUGUUUUUCGUUUCUUACCUUAAUCAACCAGAUCUUGUGAGAUGGAUAGAUUGUUCAAAAAUCUAGGGUUCAAUGUCAGAACUGCAAGGUGAAAACGAAGAUUGCAGUUGAUUUGAGAUCCUCCCACGAAGAUUCAGAAAUAGAUUUGAUUACAAGACCCUAAAAUCGUUCAAGGAGGGUCACAUUCAAAGGCAUUUUUGGAGUCUAUAUGGAGACUCUUAUGAAUGCUAUUGUCAAGGCAGAGUAUUUAAAGCAUCCAGACGAACAAGUUAAGCUCCAUAUGAAAAUGAAGUUUUGCAUGUGUAAUUCUCUACACGGGCCAAGGGAAGUUUCAUAAUAGUACUACGGGUACAUUGGACUUUGUUGUGAGCGAAUCGAAAGAUACGAUUAAUAAACUCAAUAAUGUGUCGGAAAUUCUUGCUACAUCGAAGAAUAUUGGAGUAGAUCAAGUCUCUUUACCUCCGAGUAUGUAAAAAAACAUUGACCGGGUUGACGAAAUGGUAUCCAAAGCUGUUAGAUCUCUUAAUUCUAAGACCCAAAAGAACGAAAAAAUAUAUACAUGAUGUUCUGAAUUCUGUGUAAGUAAUUUCUUUAUAUAGAAGUAGUGAUUUCAACACAUUAUAAUAUGCAUGAGUCGAUCUGGGUGAUUUUUAAUUUUUUUAAUGAUCAUCGCGUUAAGCUAGAUUUAACUUGAAGGAAACAGGUCAAAUGGGUUGACAGACAUUUAACGUGUACAUAAAAGCAUAAAGGCCUAAAUCAUUUUCUUAAAAAGAGCUACAUCUCUUGGUCUUUACGGUGAGAGAUGUAUAGGAUUAGAGACCCCAAGCUGACAGAAAAGGAGAUCAUUAGGGCGGAGAGACAUUCAGGAGUAGUGACCAAUAAAGUUAGAGAAAUCCAAGAACACUCAGCCGAGGUUCAAAUUUAUAAUUUAUAGUAAUGAACUGAUGAAGCACAUGCAAGUUUCCUUUUAAGUUUUGUUAUUUUUGUUUUUAUUUCGUUGAGUGACAUUGAUAUAAAGUUAAACUAGAAGCAGCAUAAACCUCACUAUAUUCAUUUUUUAAGUAUGUGAAAAUGUCAACAAUGCAUAUACAUUUAGCUAAUAUAUUGUACUGAACUGUUUUUUCC